rnacentral:rRNA from 1 species
UGGGGAAUCUUGGACAAUGGGCGAAAGCCUGAUCCAGCAAUGCCGCGUGCGUGAAGAAGGCCUUCGGGUUGUAAAGCGCUUUUGUCAGGGAGCAAGGAGAUGUGGCUAAUAUCCACAUUGACAGAGAGUACCUGAAGAAUAAGGACCGGCUAACUACGUGCCAGCAGCCGCGGUAAUACGUAGGGUCCAAGCGUUAAUCGGAAUUACUGGGCGUAAAGCGUGCGCAGGUGGUCUGUUAAGCACGAUGUGAAAUCCCCGGGCUCAACCUGGGAAUUGCAUUGUGAACUGUCAGACUAGAGUACGGCAGAGGGGGGUGGAAUUCCACGUGUAGCAGUGAAAUGCGUAGAGAUGUGGAGGAACACCGAUGGCGAAGGCAACCCCCUGGGCUGAUACUGACACU